AAGCGCUCAUGACCAGACUUGGGCCCGGUGAAUCAUCCAGCGUUCUCGCUGGUGCACUUUGCCGGGCACAGGCCAGCAUCAGUUUGCCGCGGGGGAUAAAGGCUUCGGGAACGUGGCUCCCUCGGGAGUGUUAUAGCCCACCGUGUAAUACCCUGGGGGGGACUGAGGUUCGCGCAUCUGCAAGGAUGCUGGCGUAAUGGUCAUCAACGA
rnacentral:rRNA from 1 species